rnacentral:rRNA from 1 species
UGGGGAAUUUUGGACAAUGGGCGAAAGCCUGAUCCAGCAAUGCCGCGUGUGUGAAGAAGGCCUUCGGGUUGUAAAGCACUUUUGUCCGGAAAGAAAUCCUUGGCUCUAAUACAGUCGGGGGGAUGACGGUACCGGAAGAAUAAGCACCGGCUAACUACGUGCCAGCAGCCGCGGUAAUACGUAGGGUGCAAGCGUUAAUCGGAAUUACUGGGCGUAAAGCGUGCGCAGGCGGUUUGCUAAGACCGAUGUGAAAUCCCCGGGCUCAACCUGGGAACUGCAUUGGUGACUGGCAGGCUAGAGUAUGGCAGAGGGGGGUAGAAUUCCACGUGUAGCAGUGAAAUGCGUAGAGAUGUGGAGGAAUACCGAUGGCGAAGGCAGCCCCCUGGGCCAAUACUGACGCUCAUGCACGAAAGCGUGGGGAGCAAACAGGAUUAGAUACCCUGGUAGUCCACGCCCUAAACGAUGUCAACUAGUUGUUGGGAUUCAUUCCUUAGUAACGUAGCUAACGCGUGAAGUUGACCGCCUGGGGAGUACGGUCGCAAGAUUAAAACUCAAAGGAAUUGACGGGGUCAUAGCUGUUUCCU